UACAGAGGUCUCAAGCGUUGUUCGGAUUCAUUGGGCGUAAAGGGUGCGUAGGCGGCGCGGUAAGUCGGGUGUGAAAUCUCGGAGCUUAACUCCGAAACUGCAUUCGAUACUGCCGUGCUUGAGGACUGGAGAGGAGACUGGAAUUUACGGUGUAGCGGUGAAAUGCGUAGAUAUCGGGAGGAACACCGGUGGCGAAGGCG
rnacentral:rRNA from 1 species